rnacentral:rRNA from 1 species
AUUGAACGCUGGCGGCAUGCCUUACACAUGCAAGUCGAACGGCAGCGGACCUUCGGGUGCUGGCGAGUGGCGAACGGGUGAGUAAUGCAUCGGAACGUACCUUUCAGUGGGGGAUAACGUAGCGAAAGUUACGCUAAUACCGCAUAUUCUGUGAGCAGGAAAGCAGGGGAUCGCAAGACCUUGCGCUGAUUGAGCGGCCGAUGUCAGAUUAGCUAGUUGGUGAGGUAAAGGCUCACCAAGGCGACGAUGUGUAGCGGGUCUGAGAGGAUGAUCCGCCACACUGGAACUGAGACACGGUCCAGACUCCUACGGGAGGCAGCAGUGGGGAAUUUUGGACAAUGGGGGCAACCCUGAUCCAGCCAUGCCGCGUGAGUGAAGAAGGCCUUCGGGUUGUAAAGCUCUUUCGGCCGGGAAGAAAUCGCACGGGCUAAUACCCUGUGUGGAUGACGGUACCGGAAUAAGAAGCACCGGCUAACUACGUGCCAGCAGCCGCCGUAAGAC